rfam:Schistosoma rodhaini strain Burundi genome assembly, scaffold: SROB_scaffold0001698
AUCCAACUGACGAGUCCCAAAUAGAAAGAAACGCGCGUCUAAAUAGAU